CCAAAAAAAGUUGGAAACUCAUAGUCACAGAUUUCCUUUAAACCGAUUUUUUCUUGAAGAGGGUGCAAAAUUAAGAAAAUCCUGUUUUUCAUUUUUUCAAUAUAUCUCCCGGUUACCAUGGAAACGAGGAUGAAAAUCCCCAACUUGCUGAAUUUUCAAAAAAGUAGGGGUGCAUACCUAUUUUGUUAUCUGGAAAGUACUAGAAAGUGUCCUUUAUUUUCGUACUUGCAAAUUUUAAAGGCAAAUGAACAAGGUUUCAUACCAAACUAAUAUUUCCAAAUAUUUAUUUGAUUCUUGUAUGAUCUAGACUUUUAUCUGCAAGAAAAAAUAUAUUUAUGGAGCAAAGCAUAUGUUUAUAUUGUGCUCUACAUCUUGAAAAGUGCACAGGUCUCAGCAGAAAAGUAUAUUUGUUUGUAUAAAGGGAAGAUGAUAUUUCAAAAAGAAACAUAAAUCGUAAUGGGUCAUUCAGACAUAUUCUUGUAGAUUUGGGGCCAAAUUUUAUGAUUUGUGGCAUUUUUCCUAUUUUUAUUACCUCCCCUUGAUGCUCUUCAUUUAGGAAAUCACAAAGAGCUUAUCUAAGUUUACUUCCUGGAAUAUGCUGAAUUCAGAUUUCUACUCGGAUUUUGCACAUUUUUAGUAUAUAGAUACAAUGACAGUCAGAGAUUUUAUGCUAAAUGGGCAUGUGAUGCUUGGAUGUGUCCCUUCAAACCAAGUCCACGCUUAAAAUUUGCUGAAUAGCGACAAUGUUUGGGAAAAUACUCUGGCAGAAAACGGAAAAGAGUCUAAACUGUGGAUACACAUCAGAGUCUGACAUCUGUCUGUUUAUUUCUAUAAGUGAAGUUUGUAUCAACUGACUGAAGGAUCAGCGGUAAAGGAUAACACUACAAUGAAAACAGCUGUGAGUUGUUUCAUUUGAAAAUGACUGCUUGAUGAUAAAGUUUCAAACAACAAUGAGGUGAGUGGAUGUUCUAGAGAGACUAAUUCUUCAAAGAAUGAAUGAUCAUCAUCAUCCUUAUAUUGGAAUAAAAGGAAGGAAGUGACAGCUACAGUCAUGGUAAAAGUAAAUGCAGUCAGAAGACCUCUGAUAUCACCCGAAGAGCCAGCCUUCUCAAGAUUCUGUAUCAAAUAAAAAUAAUAAGGACUGCUAAAAAGACUUUUUAUAACUUGCAAAUGUGCAGUCUGUGACAUAACUGUCUAAUCCAGGUAGUUUAGUGUUGACAAGAUGACAUUUCAUCUCUAUUAUAGUAGAGGACACAAGUUUGAAAUGUAGUAUGUCAUUGUGAAGGCAAAAUGUGUAUGAAAAUAGUGUGUGUGUUUUCCAAAUAGAGUUGUUUAUAUUGUUUGCAUUAAUGUUUCUUUUUCAGAUUUAUGGAAAAAAUUAGAAUGUCAUUUCUUAAAAUGUUGUUUAACCAAAGGCCCUGUAAUUGAAAAAUAUCUUUAUUCUUGACUUUAUAUUAAAAUUAAAAAAAUCUGAUACUGUUUGAUUACUUUUGCAUGUAUAACAUUAAAUUUGUUGUAUUUAAAUUUGAUGAAAUUUAAUGUUUUUUGAAAAAGAUGCACUUGAACAUAUCUAAAUGGAAUAAAUACAUGACAGUCUUUGAAUAUCUGUAAAAAAGCACACGUUUUGCAGUUCUCAUCCGAUUUGGUUACCAAUUUACAGCAUAAUUAUACAUGAAGGCUUAUUACUCAAACAUAUGCAGAUCUAACUGUAUAUUUUCUACCAUAGAUAAUUUUAUUUCAUAUAGAUUUUUUAAAUCUUUAAAAAUUACUGAGAAAAUAUAGCAAAAUAAUGGUUGAAUUAGUAUACUUGAUUUUGUGAGACUGUUGAAAUACUACAAUUCUUUUUCCCUCUUUUUACCUAUAUUGUGUUAGGUAAAAACUUAAGCCCAUAUAUACUUAUGGCCAAUGAUUAAAGAGAACAUCUGAGUUUCUAGCUGACUUUCUGACUAAUUUAAGAACUCAUUCAUGUAACAACAUCUAUUAAUCUUCAGAAAUCCAGUAAAAUUGUCAUCUGUAAAACAGGUUUCAUUCUAAGAUAUACAAGGCAUAUAACAUCCUAUUUUACCAGCAUGUAUUUACUUUAAUAAAUAAAGUAGAUUUAGUUGUGUAUUUUGAUAAAUUUUGGAAAAAGCAUUAGGAGAUAUGUCUGCAACUGCAGUUUGUAUUAACUGAGUACAGGCCCUGGAAUGUGCAUGAUCAGAGUUUUUGUGAAUAAACUUAGUAAAGUCUUAAGUCUACAUUAUCUAUAGCUAUCCGUAAAAAGUCUAGCCAUUGUCUUGGUAGUUUGUAAGAAUUAAAUACAUUUGAGCCACGCCAUGAGAAAACCAACAUAGUGGCUUUGCGACCAGCAUAGAUCCAGAGCAGCCCGCGCAGUCUGGUCAGGAUCCAUCCUGUUCCCUUUCAAAGCAUAUUGCAAUCAGAGAAACUGUUAGUGAACAGCAUGGAUCCAUGCUGGUCGCAAACGUUGGUUUUCUCAUGGCGCGGCUCAUUUAAAGUUUUGUCUAGCAAAAUAUUGACUAAACUUUUCUGUAGAUAAUUUGAUUUAAUUUGAUAGUUAAAGGAAGAAUGUGCAUCAUGAUUGUUAUUACAUGAACAUACUGUAUUAUUUUUAAAUAUCAUGAUAUUUUUCAGUCUUG